AUUGAACGCUGGCGGCAGGCUUAACACAUGCAAGUCGAGCGGAGAUGAGGUGCUUGCACUUUAUCUUAGCGGCGGACGGGUGAGUAAUGCUUAGGAAUCUGCCUAUUAGUGGGGAACAACAUUCCGAAAGGAAUGCUAAUACCGCAUACGUCCUACGGGAGAAAGCAGGGGAUCUUCAGACCUUGCGCUAAUAGAUGAGCCUAAGUCGGAUUAGCUAGUUGGUGGGGUAAAGGCCUACCAAGGCGACGAUCUGUAGCGGGUCUGAGAGGAUGAUCCGCCACACUGGGACUGAGACACGGCCCAGACUCCUACGGGAGGCAGCAGUGGGGAAUAUUGGACAAUGGGGGGAACCCUGAUCCAGCCAUGCCGCGUGUGUGAAGAAGGCCUUAUGGUUGUAAAGCACUUUAAGCGAGGAGGAGGCUACUGAGACUAAUACUCUUGGAUAGUGGACGUUACUCGCAGAGUAAGCACCGGCUAACUCUGUGCCAGCCGCCGCCGUAAAAC
rnacentral:rRNA from 1 species